rnacentral:rRNA from 1 species
UACGGAGGGUGCGAGCGUUGUCCGGAAUCACUGGGCGUAAAGGGCGCGUAGGCGGCGCGAGCAGUCGAUCGUGAAAGUCCGGAGCUCAACUCCGGAUCGGCGGUCGAUACUCUCGUGCUUGAGCACUGUAGAGGCAGAUGGAAUUCCCGGUGUAGCGGUGAAAUGCGCAGAUAUCGGGAAGAACACCCGUGGCGAAGGCGGCUCUCUGGGACGGUACUGACGCUGAGACGCGAAAGCGUGGGGAGCGAACAGG